UACGUAGGUGGCAAGCGUUGUCCGGAUUUACUGGGCGUAAAGAGCGCGCAGGCGGCCAAGUCAGUCGAAUGUGAAAGCCCCCGGCUCAACUGGGGAGGGUCAUUCGAUACUGAUCGACUUGAAGGCAGGAGAGGGUAGUGGAAUUCCCGGUGUAGUGGUGAAAUGCGCAGAUAUCAGGAGGAACACCGAUGGCGAAGGCAGUGGUCUGGGCCGGCACUGACGCUGAAUAGCGAAAGCGUGGGUAGCGAACAGG
rnacentral:rRNA from 1 species